CCGGUGCGCCGAGAUUCUCGAAGGACGCGGUGAUCGGGAAGCCCGGGGUCUCACACACCAUGUCCCCCGGGGACCCCGUCUCUCUCCGUGUUAGGCAGGGAAGAGGGGAACCGUCCGCUCAGCUGGAGCCUGCCGUACGAACAGCGCCGAACACGCUCCGGACGGCCAUUUUGUAACUCGAAUCUACCCCCUCGAAACCAAUUCGAAAAAAAAAGGGAGGAAAGAAACGCCCGCGUCCAGCUACUGCGCAAGCGCGCCGGGGCCCGGCUCGGCGGCACCAUCUCUCGCGGGCAGCGGGGCGUCACGCCGCGCAUGCGCCCGGCUGCUCGGAAAAAAACCGUCGCCGGGGCCUGCGCCCCAGCCUCACGCAUGCGCGCGCCGGCCUCAGCCGGGAAGCCGGCGCCGGAGUUUGCAGGCGCCGGUCACGUGCCGGCUGCUGUUUGCUUUUGAGGCAUUCGCGCGCGGCCGGCUUUUGCGAGGCGCUCGCGAGCACGGUCAUUCAGUGAGCGUGUCCGAGGCUCUUGCUGUUGCGUGUCGGGUGCCGCCGGGCCGAGGAGAGACAGGCCGCGUGCGGUACCGGAAACGUGAGUGCAAUAGAGAUAGCGUAACGUCGGGUGCGCGGCGACGCCACCGCGUCCCCGAGGGCCCGGCUGUGAUCGCCCGCGACGUGCUUGGCGGCUGAGUGGUCGGGAAGGCCCGGGAUUGCGGAGCCAGGAGGGAUGGCCUCGGUCGUGGAGGAGAAAAAACGGCCCCAUUCACCCGACAGCUUGUGUGUGUCUUCCGUGGCGGCAGCUCUCCGGAAGUAACUUGCCCCAAAUUGCGCAGCUGCUUAGGGUCGACGAAGAAGUUUGCAAACGCGUUUUUGAACUGCGGAGCUAAUGUGUUCACGAAUAUGGCUUUGCAUACUGAUAAAAUGACCUCCAAGGUCAAGAGACGUUGAGCACCGAGGCAGCAGAAUGAAGAAUUUGGGGUCCUUCUUACCAGCCCACAGAGCAUGGGAUUCUUACAUGGUCGUGCCACAGGAACUCAGGAGUCCGUGGAAGAUUCACAUUUCCCCAGACCGAGUCCGAGAGCCGGAAGUGCAGUGGCCGAUGCUGAUUUCACAGGCACUCACCGAGUCUUGUUUCCUCCCAGGAUUCUUCUUGCCUGAGCUUGAACCUAGCAGAAAGUCUUCCUCCUGUAGUUGUUGAGGAAGCAAAGGUUCGCCAAACUGAGUGACGGAAGGAGAAUGAAUAAAGUAAUAUAACAUGGUGA